CGACCACUGCCCAAGCACCUAGGCUUUGAAAGCAGACUGCCAUUUACCAUGCAUUUGAAGUUCGUCUUCCUCCUUCUUGUCGUCGCUGUUGCCGCCUCUAGCGGGUACAGAUCGCCCAACUACUGGAGGAACUUUGCUCAGUAUAACUAUAUGAGUGACAUGGACACUCCUGACUACAUGGACGACGACUACAACUCCAUGUACAUGUAUGGAAGAGGAUGGGGCUACCGCAAUACUGGGCGUGGCAACAACAACUUUUUCGGGAGAUACAACAGAUAUUAGACUUUUAAUAACCAGUUCUGAGAUGGUUUCCAAGGUAAACUAGGUUCUGCUUGAUAUACACACUGUAUUACAUCAGAGAAACUGAAUAAACAUCGAAUUGAAGGGA
rnacentral:lncRNA from 1 species